rnacentral:lncRNA from 1 species
AGAGCGCCGUCGACCCCACGCCACGCAGAGGUGAAGAUACGCAGGACGUCCUCUAAAGCAACUUCCGUGGGUGCCAGGUUGUGGGCUGGGGGCGGUGCUGACCUUGAGAGAGCGGAGGAGGCGCAGGCGCAGCACAGGUGGCAAUUGAAGCCGGAAGAACAUCUACCAAGAGCAGAGAACCCAGGAAGAAAAUUCUGCCUCUUUAAUACGUUCCAAUAUGGACGUUUUCCAUAUAGAUACCUAUCUAUAUAGAUAGAUGCUCUGGGAUCUGACGGUCCUGGACACCUUUUAAACUUGAUUUUGUGAGGGGACGAACAGCGUGACAAUUAAAAGAAGAUCUGGGAAUCGUAAGUACUGACAGAAUACCUGGAGGGAAGGUGGGACUGGAGAAUAGUUUGUGAAACAGAUCCUGCUGAGGAUGAAUCCAGAACUUCCUGAAGGGUUCCGCUUCUGCUGUGUAGGGACAAGGUUGUAAAUAGACAAGCCACAGGCACCUGCAAAUGGUAAGUGUGGUAGAGAGGGGCUGGAAUUGCCUGUUGGUGUAUCUGUGGGAAGCAGCUGCUAUCCUUGAGGAAGAAAAGAUGGAGAAGGUAAGUGGCUAUCAACCUGUCAGAGACAACACAUUCUGUGAAGUUGUACUCUUUCAUUUCUGACACUGUGGUUCUUAAUAUCUGUCCUAAACCUGGCAGUCAUUGAGGUUCGCAAAGUAUCUCCUUCUAUGUGACAGUAAAACUGGAAUUACUAUCAGAAUGGAAUCCAUUCCUGCUAGAGUAAAACCAUGAAAAGAAAUCGCAGUUUUGAUUAUCUGCUUAUCAUUUUUAAUAGAUCACAGAGUGCAGUGUUCCUUAUUUGUUGUAUGGCAAGUUGAUGAAUAACUCUUGAUUAAUAUCUUUUAAUGUUCUGUUUCACACAGUUCUCUCAAUUACAUGUGAAAAAUCUGUUAUAUAAGUAAUGCUAUUUAAUGAUUAAAAUGGAUAUAUGUUUUAAGGUAGUGCCACCCAGUCUUUUUUUUUUGGUAGAAUAAUAUUAUUAUCUAUUGGUUGCCUGCCUUGAAGUACAGUAAUUUCUCUGUUUCCAUUAUUUAAAAUAGGUGAGUGUCUUUGACAAAGAUACAAAGAAAGGGGACAGUUAUGAAAGGGAAGAAAAGAUAGAUGGAGAUGAAAAGAAAUUCAGUAGUUUCAGCAAGGGAAUUAGGAGCAUAAUCUUUGAGAAAAGUCUUGGUUGCUUACCAUUCGGGCUUUGUGAUGAGUUGAAAUGUCCUGAAUGAGAACUGUUCUCAAAUGCUUUCAAGACCAACAAAAAGUACGAUACCCACACUGACCUGGAACUCUUUAAACCAUUAAGAUAUAUCACUUUUUCGCAGUUCAGUCCAUAUUUUUUGCAAAAUGUUCUGCUUAGUUUUUCUGCUAAGAAAUUACUGUUUCUGAACAAGGUUAAGUGUCGUAUGCUUUCAUUGUAGUUUUUUUUCCCCUAACAUAUACUGUUUUCCUAAUUAGACUAUAAAUUCCUCCACAGCUGGGACCUUGUUUUGUUUUCUCGCCUUCCCCAUAACAAAUAUCAUUUAAGUGAAUGUUGUAAACAGUUACUUCAUUUAAAUUGCCCUUAAAAUGCUUUAUGACAAAGACGUUAUUUGUAGUAAUACCUAUAAUGGUAAAAAGUUUGUUGCAGUCUUACAGACGAUAAGAUUGAUCAAUUGUUAUAUAUGCUUAGUGGAAUUUUAUCUAGCUGUUCUAAAGAGCCAUUAGACUAGUCUUUCUAAUGGAAAAUGUUUAUUGUCUAAGUUAAAACAGCAUUUGAGGCCAGGCACAGUGGCUCACUCCUGUUAUUGCAGCACUAUGGGAGGCUGAGGUGGGAGGAUCACUAGAGCACAAGAGUUGGAGACUAGCCUAGGCAAUAUAGUGAGACCUCUUCUCUACAAAAAAUUUAAAAAUUAGCUGAGUGUGAUGGGGUGUGCCCGUAGUUCCAGCUACUCAGGAGACUGAGGUGGGAGGAUCACUUGGGUCCAAGAGGUAGAUGUUGCAGUAAACCAAGAUCAUGCCACUGCACUGCAGCCUGGGCAACAGAGCAAGAUCCUGUCUCAAAAAAUUAAAAAGCAUUUUAUAGACUGCAUGUUUGUGUCCCCCCUCCCUCCGCACCAGAAUUCAUAUAUUGAAGCCUUAAUCUCCAAUGACAUGAUAUUAGUAGGUGGGGCCUUUGGGGGGUGAUUAAAUAAUAAGGGUGAAGCCCUGCAUGGGAUUAGUGCCUUUACAACAAGAGACCCUAGACAGCUUGCUUCCACUCUUUCUUUGCUCUUCACCAUGUGAGGACACAGCAAGAAAACAGACAACUACAAAUCAGGAAGAGGGCCUAAUUUGUGCCAACCAUGCUGGCACUCUUCUCUAACUUCCCAGCCUCCAGAACUGUGAGAAAUAAAUUUCUGUUGUUUAAGUCACCCAGUUUAUGGUAGUUUGGUUAUAGUUGCCCAUAUUAAGACAGCAGGAUGCAAAAUUGUGGCCAGUAUGAUUGCUUUGACAUGAAACAAAUUUUAAGCACAAAUUGCAAAAAGUAACCAAAAUAUAUCAAUCCCCACUGCUGGCAUUAACACUCUAAAACAAACUUUGUAUAUUGGGGGAUUUUAUUUAUUUAUUUAUUUAUUUUUUUUGCUGACCAUAGUGACUCAUGCCUAUAAUCCCAGCACUUUGGGAGGCCGAGUUGGGCAGAUCACUUGAGGCCAGGAAUUCAAGACCAGCCUGGCCAACAUGGCAAAACCCCCUCUUUACAAAAAUAUAAAAAUUAACCAGGCAUGGUGGCACACCCCUGUAGCCCCACCUACUUGGGAGGCUGAGGUGGGAGGAUCGCUUGGGCCUGUGAAGCAGAGGUUGCGGAGAGCUGUGAUGGCACCACUGCACUCCAGCCUGUGUGACAGAGCGAGACUAUCUCAAGAAAAAAAAAAAAGGAUGAGGAUUUUUUUUGUUUUCAACAUGCUUUUUAACAUCCACUAUAUUACUCUCAUCUUUCUAGGCUGGAAAAAAAAAUGUUUUAAAUGUUAUUCUGAAGUAUAUUGCAACCUUUAACAAUUCAGUAGACUUCUGAAUUUUUAUUUUCAUGUAGCUUACCACAGUUGUAUCUAGGAAUAUAUCACAUAGCUGAUUAAUUGGUGAAAUAACCCUUGCAAUUUUACACAGGUUGUACAGUGCACAUUUUCAAGGACCACUCACAUACAUCCAUUUGAUAUUUUUUGGUAUCAAGAAAGUCUUUAAACAAUCAGUACCACCAAUAGCAGUAAAAAGACAAAACUGUCUGAAAGUACCUAUCUGUUUAAAACUUUAAUUAGCUUUAUCCAUCCAUUAAAUAGUUAUUGAAUAUAAAACUGUAUCAUUCACUCUUCUACACUCUGAGGAAAUAGUGGUAAAUAAAGCAGAUAUUGUCCCUACUAUCAGGAAAUUUACAUUUUAGUAGUAAUAAGCCAUAAAUUAACAAAAACAGAAGACAGUGGUAAGUACUAGGCAUGAAAUUCAAACAUGACUAUUUUAGAUUAGGUGAUUAAAGAAACUAAAAUACCAUUUAAGCUGCUGUGUAAAUGACAAGAGAAUCCAGCUUUGUAAAAAUUGGUGAACCCUUUGCUUGCAGAAGGGACAACUGCAAAAUCUAAGGCAUGAUCUAGCCUGGAAUAUUUCAGGAGCCAAAAGAAGGCCUGCAUGGUUAGAGAAUAGUGACUUAAGACGCAAAUACUGUAACUUUGGAGGGAUAGGAAAGGGCUAGAUCAUGUUACCUUUGAAAGACAGGAAAGAGUUUAGAUUUUAUUCUAUGUGCAAUGGAAAAAAAAAUGAGAGCAUUUUAAUCCAAAGAGUAAUAUAAGAUAAUAUAUUUUUAAAAUCCACUUUGGUAAUUUGUUAAUUGGCAUAAAGAGUCAGCUUUCAUGUAACAUAAUUACUAACAUACUUGGAUUUAAAUUUGUCAUUAUUCUUAUUUUAUUUGUCCCACCUCUUAUAUGUUCAUUUUGUCUUCUUUUGCCUUUUUGAUUUUUUUUUUUCUUAAUUAGGCCAUAGCACCUGAUAUUCCCAGGCAGACUCUCAUCCAAGUGCCAAUCAGCCCCAGCCCUGCUUAGCUUCCCAGAUCAGAUGAGAACAGGCAUAUUCAGGGUGGUAUGGCUAUAGACCUUUUAGAUUAUUUUUAAUUAUUCCAUUUUUUCUACCUCAUAAGCUUGACAGAUGUCUUUUAGUAUCUUUUUACUGUUCACCUCAGGUAUUAAAACAUGGAACCUUGGUUUAUCAUCUUUAAGAUAAUUUGGUAUUAUACUUCUUCCAGGACAAUGUAAGGACCUGCGAACACAUCAACUUCAUUUACUGCCACACCUCAUGUUAUAUACAUUGUAUAUUCUUAAUAUGUAUUUCCUAAAUUCUCAAGACAUUUUUUAUACAAUAUGAAUUUACAUUUCAUAUUGUAUAAAACAUUUACUUUUUCUAUUGUGUUUCGUGGUUCCUGGAAUCUGAGCUUCCAUCUAAGACCUUAUUUCUUCUUGAAGGACAUACUUUAAUAUUUCUUCGAAUAUCUACUGGUAACAAUUCAUUCAGAUUUUCUGUCCUGACACUGUCUUAUUUUACUUUCAUUUUCUAAGAACGUUUUUGCUGAAUUAGCAGCUAUUUUAUCAUUUUGAAGAUAUAUUUUAUUCCUUCUGGCUUCCAUUAUGUCCUCUAAGACAUAAUGUCCAUUUUGUUUUUUUCUCUUCAAAGGUAAUCUUUUUUUGGAUGGCUACUUUUAAGAGGUUUGUCUUAAGUUUGGUGUGCCCACAUGUGUUUUGUGUUUGUUUUUUUGUGUGUGUGGUUUUUUUCUGCUUCGAGAUUGAUAAUGUUUCUUGAAUCUGGCUGUGAUGUCCUUAGGCUGUUUGAGAAAAUUCUUAGCUCUGUUUGAUCAGACAUUGCUUCUGCUUUCACUCUCCUUUCUCCUCUUCUUUUGAUACUCCACUUACAUUUGUAUUUGACAAUUCACUUUGUCCCUUGUAUUUUCCAUUUAUUUUCUUGUCUGUUUCAUCCUGAAUAUUUCUUCUUAACUUUCAGUUCACUAUUUUCUCUUAGUAGUCUCGAAUUUGUUAAAUCUCUCUUGAAGCAUUUAUUUUAGUUAUAUUUUUGGUUAUCAGUUCAAACAUUUCUACUUGAUUCUGUUUUAUUGUUUCCAGUUGUUUAUCCAAUAUCUCAAUCUUUUAUUUCCUCAAACAUACUAAUCAUAAUUACUUUAAAACCUGUAUCUAAUAACUAUGGUGUCUGCUAUUAUCUGACACUUUUCUUGUUUCUUGCUGUUAUCACAUUGUCUUGCUUUUAUGUCCCUUAUUUUUAUGUUAUUUUGUAUUAUUUAUUUUAUAAACAUUAUAAAUAUAUAAAACUUGGCUUAGGUUAUGUUUUAAUUGAAUGUCAGAAUUGUUUUGAUUGAACUGUAUAUGAGGAAACUAUACUUUGAAGUCCAAUAUGAUGGUAUUUUCUAAAGAAAGAAUUUAUGUCUCCUGGCAAGACCUUUGGACACUAGUAAUCUAAGAUCUUCUUAAUCUGGUUAGUGAUAGAGACAAUUAGAAUAUAGGCAGGUCUAUUUCCUGUUCAUACUUUCACAAUGUAGACCUCUGAAGUCCCAACUCAAGCAUGCAGAGUUUACCAGAUCAGGCCCUAAACUUCAGUUUUUGUCUUUUUAAUUCUAUGGGUUAGAAACUCUGUUCAACUUUUCAGCCAUCACCUCAGGAAUCAGAAGAUACUCCAGAGGAAAAGCUAAUGUAAAUGCUGGAUUCAACAACUCUGUUUUUUCCUUCUGAAUAUUUCAUUGUCUCUAAUGCUGUCAGAUGUUUGUUUUAUAUUUUGUCCAAGCUGAGUGUGGUGGCUCACGUCUGUAAUUUCAGCACCUUGGGAGGCCAAGGCGGGACCAUCCCUUGAGGCCAGGAAUUUGAGACUAGCCUAGGCAACAUAACAAGACCUUUGUCUCUUGGAAAAAAAUAAAUAAAUAAAUAUUAUUAGAAGUGAAAAUGGGGAUGUUGUUACAAAUGCUGUGGAGAUUGAUGAGAAAUUAUGAACAACUUAAUAAUAAAUGGGAAAAUAUAAAUGAAGUAGGCAGUUCCAGAAAAUGUAACUUUUCAAAAGCCAUGUAAUGGAAAAUAUAAAUGGUGGGAUGUUGAUGUAAGAAAUCAUGAUGCCCAGAGACUUUUGCCAAACCUUCAAAGGACAGAUCAUUACAAUUUUACACAAACCAUUCCACAGUAUAUUCCACUUAUAUACUGUGGAAUUGGCCCUUACUGCCCUUAUCAAAUUUAACAUCAAGGUUACAGAAGCUUAAUAUUACUGCCCUGAUUUUAUUAGGGCAGUAAUGAUUUGAUAAGGGCAGUAAGAAUUACAGCCCUGUCAUAUUCGCAAAGACAAAAAUCCUAAAUAAAACAGACCUUAGAAAAUGUGUUUUUAAGAAAAGAUAAUAAAACAUGAUCAGGUUGAAUUUAACCCAGGAAUGUAUUUUAGUAUAUUAAGAGAUUAGAAAAACUAUCUGGCUAUCUGAACAGAUGCAGGAAAAGAAAACUAUUUGAAAAAAUUAACAGACAUAGAUAAACCUUUGGGCAAAUUAGAAUUGUGUAGAACUUCCUUGAGCCAAUAAAACCUACAACAACAAUAUUUUAAGAUGAAGUAUUUGAAGCAGUCCAUUAGAAUCAGGAACAAGUACUAUGUUGGAGAUCCUAGCCAGCAUUAUAAGGCAAGAAAAACAAAAGAUUAAAAAUUGUAAAUAAACAUAACUUAGUCUACAGAUAAAUUAUUGAAGAGCUUUGCAAGGAUUCUGAAUAUACUAUUGAUAUGGUUUGGAUCUGUGUCCCUACCCAAAUCUCAUGUUGAAUUGUAAUCCCCAAUGUUGGAGGUGAGGCCUGGUGGGAGAUUGGAUCACGGGAAUGGGUUUCUCAUUCGUGGUUUAGUACCAUCCUCUUGGUACUGUCCUUGAAAUAGUUCUUAGGAGAUCUGGUAAUUUAGAAUUGUGUGGUACCUCUCCCCUCUCUCUUGCUCUUGCUCCCCCUUUGCCUUCCACCAUGAUUGGAAGCUUCCUGAAGCUGCCUCAGAAGCAGAAGCCACUAUGCUUCCUGUACAGCUUGCAGAACCAUGAGCCAAUUAAACCCCUUUUCUUUAUAAAUUACUCAGUCUCCAGUAUUUAUAGCAAUGUGAAAACAGAUAAUAUGACUAUCAAUAUACAAAAGUGAAUUGCAUUUCUUUCCAGCAGAAAUGAACUGUUAGAAAAUGAUUUUUGUAACAUACCAUUUACUAUAUUCCUUUAAAAAUAUAAAUUAGGUAACUUAACAAAAGGUAUAGAAGACCUCUGUAGAAAAUUACAAAACUUUAUUGACAGGCAUUUAAAAAUGUCUAAUUUUAAAAUUGCCAUGUUCAAUGAUUAAAAGACUCGAGUUAAGAUGGCAGUUCUCCACUACACAAUGAAGGUAAUUGCAAUACAAAUCCCAAAUGAGUUUUUCAAGGAGCUUGACAAACUGAUUCUAAAGUCUGUAUGACAAAAAGCAGAAUUCAGGAUACUCCAGAAGCAGAUUUAAGAUAGAAUUGACUUGUAGAUAUUCGUAACAGCAAAAAAAUAAAAACAACUCAAAUAUCCAUCAAAAGAUAAAAUGUUUAUCCAUGAAAAGAUACUCAAAAAGUGACACCUUUAUAUAAUGGGAUAUAUUUGGCUGCAAAAAGGAAUGAACUGCUAAUACCUGCUAUAAUGUGGAUAAACCUUGAAAGCCUGCUGAAAUAAAGAAGCCAGUCACAAAGGACCACUUAUGAUUCCAUUUAAACAAAGUGUAUAAAGUAGAAAAUGUAUUGAGACAAUAGAUUGUGGUUGUUUAGGGCUUACAAAGUUUGGGGUGAUGGGGGCCCGAGGUAGUGACAGCUAAAGGGUGCAGUUUCUUUUUGAGGCAAUAAAGUUCUAAAAUGUAUAGUUGCACGUUUCUGUAGAUACACUAAAAUCAAUUCAGUUGUGCAUUUAAAUGAGUAAAUUGGUAUGUGAAUUGUACCUCAAUAAAUCUGUUAAAACCAUAGUAAUUAGGAUAUUGUAAUACUGGCUUAGAGAUGGAAAAAUUGAUUUAUAAGGAAUCCUGAUUGUAAGGAAUCUUGACUUAUGUCAGAGAUGGCAUUGCAUACCAGCAGGGAAAGCUAGAUCAUUUCAAUAGAUGACGCUGCAUAUUCAUAUGGGGGAAAAAUGAAAUUGGUCCUCCCUACCUAACACCAUACAGAAAAAGUAGUUUCAGAUGACUUUAAGAUGUAAGUGUGAAAGGAAAACAUAGUAAACCUUCAAAAGAAAGAUUGCAAAAUAUUUUUAUGAUCUUAUGGUAGGGAAAUGUAAUAUGUAUAAAGGAAAACAUGUAUGUCCAAUAUGUUAAAGUUAAAAACCUCUGUUCAAGACUCCAUAAACCCUCAGAAUAGCGGUUAAUUUCAGUCAUGCCCAGGAAACAUACAAGAUGAGCCUGGAAUACCUUGUGCAAGAUAGCAAGGAAGCUAUUAGAGACUACGAGGGUGUCAUAUCAAAUGGACUCAGGAGACAACUGAAAAGCAUCCUUCUGGCCAUAGAUGAGACCAUUUGAGUGUCAAUAAGGACAGUAAAUGCAAUUGAUUGGAACAUAUCAAGUGUCUUUAAAUCUGAGUACAUAAUGAUUGUAAAACAAACAGCAUUUAGUUGGUCAACAGUAGAAGAUGCUGUUGCAUCAAUUCAUUAUUUUGAAAAUCAGUUUUGUUUUGUUUUUAAAGUAAUUAGGCAUUUGUCCUGCCUUUUGUAUGUGAACUGUAAGUAACCACAUAGUAGAUGAGGAGAGGGUUCUCUUUGUACAUGUAUUCUAGCUAAUAAAUGGAGGAAUGAUAGAAAAUUGCCAUUUUGAAAUUCCUAAUGAACAAAUGGAUUUAUUUAUUGCAUUUCAACAGCUGCUAACAUGACAGACAAGAAAACAUAUGUUUCUUAAUGGAAAAACACCACUACUGAUGUUAAAAUCUUAUCAAAAAUUUGACCCUGAUACUAAUCAGGUCUUUAGAUCCAUCCAAUUUGCAGAAAAUAUAAACACCAUUAAAACUUUAAGCCAAUGAAACCUACCACAACGUAAUAUUUUGGAAUGGAAAAUAUAAAUGAAAAAUCCAAUUUUGGAGAAUAUUGGGACAAAUUAAUUUCAACAAAUAUGUUGCAGGAGAAAAGGAGACGAGAAGGACAAGUGGAGAAAACCGUAGAUUACAAGAGACUUAGUUCAAUAUGAAGCAACCUGUGAACUUGGAUUAGUUAUCUUACUGUAUAACAAAUCACCCUAGCUUAAAUCUAAAAAUAUUUAUACACUUUCUUAGGAUCCACAGGUGGUUUAGCUAGAUGUUCUGGCCCAAGGUCUCAUGAAUUUGCAGUCAAGAUGUUGGCUGGGCUGUAGUCUGAAAGUUUGACUGGUGUUAGAGGAUCCACUUCCUAGAGGGCUCAUUCGUAGAGCUGCCUGUGUUUUCUCACAACAUGGCAACUGGCUUUCUCUAGAACAGGUGAUCCAAGAGAGAGACAGAAACCAUGAUCAUUCAGAGUGAUGUAACAUUACUUCUACUAUAUAAUGUUAGUCACACAGACAUUUCCCUGACAAUAUGUGGGAGGAGAUUACACAAGAGCAUGAAUACUGGGAAGCUAGCUGUCACAAUUUGGCCCCAAUGAUUGAUAGUUCUUGAUUUGCAAAAUAUAUUCAUCCCCUCCAAAAGCUCUCCAAAGCUCUCAUCCUAUGACACCAUUAGUUCAAGGUCUAGAAAUCUAAAUCAGUUCCAAUUGUGGAUGACACUCAUAGGUGUACUUAAGUACAGCUCCUCAAGAAGAGUUCUUUUUGAUCUGAAGACUCAUACACUAAAGACACAGUCUCUGCUUCCACAUGUAAUAGAAAAUGAAUAGGAUAAUAAAUGUGGACAUGUAUAUUUAAAAAGAGGGAAUAUUGGAGGUACAUAGGUUCACAGAAAUUCUGAAACCCACCUGGGCACAGAUUGGCAGUUGCUUGGUCAAGUUUCAAGGCCUAGAAUUCUCUUAGCUCUGCCUUCUGGGAUCUUGGAUCUACUCACUGAGUCACCCUUUCUUUUUCUUGUUUACACUUCUGCCUGCUUUCUGCCUAUAGAAGCUUGGAUGUCCCACAAGCUUCUUUCCAUUUGGUUCUCUCUGUGCCUUUCAGUCCAGGCUGGCCAUGUUUCUGCUAAUAGACUUCUCUUAAAAACUUUGUGGCUCACUUGUGAAUUUUGAGUUCACUCCAUCAGACAAAAGCAACAACCACACAUCUCGUCCCACAUAAACUCUGCCUCAAGCUUUUGCUGAUGAAAAUACCCUUAAACUUUUUAAAAACCUGUGAUGUUAUUCAGAGAUUUUCUGAGACACAUCGUUUGUCUGAUGAAAAUACUCUGAGGCACAACUUAAGAUCUUUCUGAGCUAUUAAAGGACUUUAUAACUACAGCCUCAACUUUAUGUUUUACUGGCAGUGCCCUAGAUUUGCUUUUUGCUCAGAGAUAUUCCCCAAUUUUAGCACAUUUGUCAUCUGCACAGGCUGGGAAUCUUCAAAUCCAGCAAGUUUUGACUUGUUUUUGUUUGUUUGUUUGUAAUAGAGUCUGUUUUUUGCUGUGUUGGCCAGGUGAUCUUGGACUCCUGGCUUCAAGCAUUCCUCCCACCUCAGCCUCCCAAAGUUCUGGGAUUUUAGGUAUAAGCCACCAUGCCCAGCCAUGGCUCCUUUUUGUUUAACAGUCCUUACUUUGAUGGUCUCUCUUCUCACACAUUUUACUAUCAGCAACAAGAAAAAAUACACAUGAAAUAUUUAACACUUGGCCGGCAAUCUCCUUUGCUAGAUCAAUGAGUUAAUUAGGCAUUUUUUCUACUUUGUACAUAUCUGUGGAUAACAAAUUUGCUAAACUUUCUGCCAUUAUGUAACAAGGAUCUCCUUCCCUCUAGUUUCCAAGAAGAGUUUUCUAAUCUGUUAAGAUGUCACCUGCAGCCUCCUCAAAGGUUAUCUAUUAUGCUUCUAUAAAAAAUUUCUUCAAAGCUCUUCAAACUUUCAUUAACACUCUCCUCCAAGUUCUACCUUCUGUUCACUGCCAGUUUUAAAACCACACUUACAUUUUAGGUUUUUGCUAACACCCCACUUCUGAGUACCAAAAUGUAUACUGAUUUUCUAUUGCUGCAUAAUAAACUGCCCCAAAAUACAACAUGCAAAGCAAUAAAUAUUCAUUAUCUCAUGUAGUGUCUGAAGGUCAAAAAUCCGGAAGCAGCAUAGCUGAGUGGUUCUGAUUCAUUGUCUCUUGUGAAGUUAUCAGUCAAACCAUCAGCUGAGACUGUAAUCAUCUGAUGUUUUAACUAGUACCAGAGGAUACACUUUCACAUGCUAUUGGCAGGACACUUUAGUUCUUCACUAGCUGUUUAGCAGAAUACCGCA